AGACCACUGUGUUCUUGACUCCAAUAAAGCUGUAGAAUCAUCAAGGAUGAUCAAUGGAAACAGGAUGCACCUGAGCUCAAUUUUGAGUCUCAUUGCAAAGGGUCUGGAUACUUAUGAAAAUAAGUUAACGCUCUGUCUCUGGUUCCUGUCCCACAUCUCACCACCCAACUACCUUGCUCUGGAUUUUACUCACCACCACUACCUUGGAUUCCCCUCAGGACCUGUUUACCCUGUUCUACUUAGCUAACUCUGACCUCAGUCUCCACAUCUGGUUUUUCUGCAACUCAUCCGAGCUUCCCCGGAUGUGCACUCCAUAUCGCCCUGUGUAACAAUAAAUAUUUUGGUUCACUC
rnacentral:lncRNA from 1 species